UAAUGAGAUGAGCUCAGAUGCAGCAUGCAAUGAUGGGUUUUGUGAAGUAAAUGAACCUGUCACUGCCCAGCCUGAACCUUUAAAGUUUCAGACUGAUGGACUUCAAGAUGCUGAAACAUCUCUCCGUCGAUCUCAAAGAGUGCACACAAAGCCUAACAGAUUAGAUUAUGUAACACUAGGAAAUCCUCUGAUGAUGGUGGUGAAUUCUCUGUUCCAGGGUCUAAGUGAUGCAUUGACUAGCUCCUUGAAUGGUUUUGAGAAUGUAUCCCAUAAUUCCGUCAGGCAUCCUUAAGCUGUGUGACUCCAUGUCACAUUGCAGAUGCCCAGGGACGGGCAUACCCUUCAGAGGGGAGGGUGUAACCCACAUAAAGUGGGUAUGCCACUUUAAGAGAAGAGGUUAAGGAAGCUGGGUGGUCUGCCUGGCCAAUGAGAAGUUUAGUUUCCAGAGCGUCUGGACCAAUCAGGGUGCAGGCUGCCGUUGUGGAUCCCGCCCUUCUCCCCCGGGUCUGCAGUACCGUUGGUUUUGCUCUAGAGAUCCGACGCGGUGAGACUGCUGAGCGGGGCAGCGCCAGAAGCCGUUAGGAAUCGUUGGCUCUUUCUGGCAGUUAUUUCAGCUUGUUCUUCGUAGAUAAAAGGUAAAAUUUAGGCUUUAACAUAAUUUUAUUUUAUUAAGUUUAUAUUAUUUAGAUCAAAUAUGCCUUGUUACAUCGUUUAGUGCCCCACGCAUCCGGAUUGAGACCCACUCACUAUACGGUUGUCUGAAGUGUGUCGCACUGAGAUCGGUGAGCAUAUUCGGAGCCUUUUAUUUGUGUUUUUGUCGUUUGUUACAUUGUUGUUAAAAAAAUAUAUCCGUUGUUUUAGUAACUAGGUAAUGUUUUGUUACUGUGUUGGAAAGAAGGAUUAAAGCUAGAACGGCUUGGUAAAGUCCUGUAUUUCUGCUGGUCCUGUCUGUUGACAGGUCAGGUUUUUUUUUUAUACUGGAUCAUUCCUGAAGAGGAUCCCUCCUUUGAUAUUGAUGGCGAGCCUUCCCACCUGGACCUAAAGAGAGAACCAGAUUUCGUCUAUCCCAUUUGGAGUCAUGCUGCACCCUGCGGUGUGGUAGGAGAGCAACAUACAUCUUCACACACGGUUAUGGGUGAAACCUACAACUGACAUUCUCCAUUAUUAUUGUUUUUUUUUAAUUUAUUGAUUUUUGGACAAUACUGUUUGGAUUGUUUUAUUUCGGACAUUGUGACGCACAGCUGUGGUGGAAAUUCUCCUGUGAAUGAAGUUGAAUCAAACCAAAUUGGGAUUAAUUUGAUUAAUCUGCUGACUAAUACAAUUUGGAGUGCAGAUUACCAGGGUGCACCCGAAUUAUUUGAAAUUAAGAAUUAGCACUUGGCCAAGUAUUAUUGUUAUUUCUUUUUUUUAUUUUAUUGUGUGUAAUUUUAUUUUCAUAAUUGUGUGUUUUGUGCAACUGUUAAUUGUGUGUUUUCUGUCACUAAAACCAGUUCUUUAAAUACA